AUGAGGAAGCACUGCGCCAGCCCAAACACUAAAAUCCCUUCCACAGCGUUCAGGGGGAAUGCUAUGACCGCUAUCAUCAAGGGUCAUAAAAGUUCUGAAAGACACCAAAACUGGCAAGGAACUAGUAUUCCAGUUCAACAUUUUUCCAAACAGCAGAAUCACAAGAAAUGGAACAACCAAAGGGGCCCAGCUGUGCUCUGCUGUGCAGCCGCUGGAACCUUCCAGAACCGUCUGUCGCCUCACAGGGCAGCCCCAGCCUCUUCUCACACCAGCCAGCCCUGCGGCCCCCUCGCCUCGCCAGGCGGUGCUGCCGGCACCCAGUGCAGAAUGGCCCCAGCACCAUUCAUGGCCAGUGAAGCCUCAGUCCCUGAGGUUUCUCGUGGGGAGCAAGUUACUCCGGAGACAAACGGACAACUGGCACAGAUGAGGGAAGCACUACACCAGCCAAAAAGCACAAUGCCCUCUGCCGCUUCCAAAAUCAAAUGUAUUAAUGUAAUGAUGAAUAAUCAUCCAGAUUCUGUAAGACGGCCACACCACCUCGGAGCUGCUCUGCCAUUUCAAAAUGUCUCUGAACAAGAAAAUCAAAAGUGUCAAAAAGGUGAAACGUGUUCAGAGGAGAUGCUCCCUAAGCCUCAGGAGCCACAGAUGAGGGAGCCAUUGCGACAGCCAAAAGCAAAACCAUUUCUGCGGCUUCCAGGAUUAAAACUAUCAAUGAAGUCCACAAGAAUCAAAAAAAAAAAUCUCAAAGACGUCCAAACCAGCAAGGAACUGCCUUUCUGGCUGAAAAUGUGCAAUGGUUUAAAACCACAGAAUCCAACAAAGAGAACAAAGAUGCAACCCUCACAGUCUAUGUGUUGUGCAGUAAUGCACAAUAAGUUUACAAUAAAAACAUGAAAUGACUUAAAAGUAACAGACUUGUCUGAACUUUUGCUGCCUGUCUCUCUUCCUAGGAGUCUCAGCAUUCUACCAUCUUUCCUUGGCAAAAGCAUGUGUGAAAAGAAAAACUAUAAAAAUCACAACUUAUCAUGUCUGUAGCAUAUCUGGACCCUACAAGCAUCCAGAUCGCAGGUUACCACAGAAGCGGAGCUCCCUGAUGUGCUUUUGGCACAGUGAAGCAAAACCUCCUCAUUAUCCUAUCCCAGUUCAAAACUUAGGAGGUGUGUGAUUUUUCCACUUUCAAUGCAUUACAGUUAGUUGAACACAAACAAAACCCUCAAAUUGGUAGCUAUUUGUUCAUGGAUAACAAAAUGAACACUACCACUCUACCAAAAAAUUCUUUGUGUGUUCCUGGUUCAGUUAAAAAUAGUCUAAGCUACAUGUUGUGAAAGAACUUGUAACUUUCUGGUAAUUUGUAUCUAGAAACUGCACUUUCAGGAGAAAAUGAGAUAUGCAUGCUCUAGCAGGACAAGUACAGCAAGCCAGGUAUGUUUUCGAAAGCAUUUUUAGCAUUCAGAAAGACAUUACAAGCCCAACAACAGAGUGCUUAGAAGGGCUGGUGCAGACAUGAUCACAGCCUGUGAGAGUUACCAGACCUGCUGGUGUACAAAGAAAGUAAUUGUGUGGGCUCCUUGGGACUGGGUAACAUCCAAGGACAUGGAGGCCUGCCUUACCAGAACUCUUCUAAUCCAAAUUACCUAUGACUGCUAUCAUCAAGGGUCAUAAAGGUUCUGAAAGACAUCAAAACUGGCAGAGAACUGGUAUUCCAGUUCAACAUUUUUCCAAACAGAAUCAAAUCACAAGAAACAAAACAACCAGAGGGGCCCAGCCAUGCUCUGUGGUGUAGCUGCUGGAACCUUCCAGAACCAUCUGUUGCCACACAGGGAAGCCCAGGCCUCUCCUCACACCAGCUAGACCCCACCUCCCUAGGUGGUGCCACUGGCACCCAGUGCAGAGU
rnacentral:lncRNA from 1 species